AACAUCUAAGUAACUGGAGGAAAAGAAAAUAAUUAAUGAUUCCCCUAGUAGUGGCGAGCGAACGGGGAAAAGCCCAAACCAAAUAUGUUUUGGCAUGUUUGGGGUUGUAGGGCCGCGUCAUCGAAUGUAUAUGCGAAAAAGAAGACAACUGGAAAGUUGUGCCAUAGUGGGUGAUAGCCCCGUAUUUGUAUGUAUAUAUUAUUUGUAGCGGUACCCUGAGUAGGGCGGGACACGUGGAAUCCUGUCUGAAUCUACCAGGACCAUCUGGUAAGGCUAAAUACUCCUAGAUCACCGAUAGUGAACCAGUACCGUGAGGGAAAGGUGAAAAGUACCCUGAAUAAGGGAGUGAAAUAGUACCUGAAACCGUGUGCUUACAAGCGGUCGGAGCUUCUUCGUGAAGUGACGGCGUGCCUUUUGCAUAAUGAUCCUACGAGUUGCUCCUCACUAGCAAGGUUAAGGGCUGAAGGCCCGGAGCCGAAGCGAAAGCGAGUCUGAAUAGGGCGUAUAGUUAGUGGGGGCAGACGCGAAACCUAGUGAUCUACCCAUGGCCAGGUUGAAGCUUUGGUAACACAAAGUGGAGGACCGAACCCGUAGACGUUGAAAAGUCUUGGGAUGAGCUGUGGGUAGGGGUGAAAGGCUAAUCAAACUGGGAAAUAGCUCGUACUCCCCGAAAUGUAUUUAGGUACAGCCUUGAGUGUAGUGUUAUAGAGGUAGAGCUACUGGUUGGAUGCGGGGGCUUCAUCGCCUACCAAGUCCUGUCAAACUCCGAAUGCUAUAACAUGUUCCUCUG
rnacentral:rRNA from 1 species